CCGUUCUGCGGUUGGGCAUAGCCGGGCUCCCCGUUGCUCGCUCGCUUAACUAAGGCCACAGAGCCUGGAAGUGGUGGCGGCAGCCUCUGUUCAAACCUAGGCCAGGCUUUUCUCCACCUUUGGUGAAGAGAGGGCUGCACCGGCCGGUGGUCACUCAGCCUGUCCUCGCCCUGGCAUUGUUGCUGAGUCCCUGCCAGGUUCUGGGCUGUCCCUGGGGCCAGCUAGGAAAUUCCCGGUGACUAAAGCACACCUGACAUGCCAAGGAAAGCACGGGAGGAGGGCUCUUAGGAGAGAUGAGGAUUUUAUUGAGCACCUACUGCAGGGCUCAGCACUGGGGGAGGAUGGCUGGUAAGUUAACAGCCUUUGGCUCUGAGAACCUAAGAUGUAAAUACUCAAGCACAGAUAAGUGGACCUUGAAGGAGAUGAGUCAGGGAAAAGGUAUUAUUAGGUUGUGGGGUCCAGCAUGGGCAAUGGCUUGGCAGUGAGGGCAGAAACAAAAUGUGGGAGGUGGUGAGAGACCCGGCAGUGGGAAAUGAGGUUGGGGAAGACAAACUGAUGAAGAGUUUUUGGCACCAGGCUGAAGAUUUGAGGCAUUACCCAAGUCUGUUGGUAGGAGGCAAGCAGAUUGCAGCAACCUUCUCUCUUCUAGACAGCCGUGGCAGGCUGACCCCAACUCAGGAAACAGAGCCAGAGGACCAAAGCCACAGGAGAAAGCUGCCUCCAGGGGACUGGUCUUUGUUGACACAGCCCUGAAUUGUCAUGGAGUCCUAGUGGCAUAUAUUGGGUCUCCCCGGUGGCGCAGCUGUUG